AGAUCAAGAACACUCUCCAGGAGGUAGGUGUAUGUGUGUCAAAGUCAACAAUCAAGAGAAGACUUCACCAGAGUGAAUACAGAGGGUUCACCACAAGAUGUAAACCAUUGGUGAGCCUCAAAAACAGGAAGGCCAGAUUAGAGUUUGCCAAACAACAUCUAAAAAAGCCUUCACAGUUCUGGAACAACAUCCUAUGGACAGAUGAGACCAAGAUCAACUUGUACCAGAGUGAUGGGAAGAGAAGAGUAUGGAGAAGGAAAGGAACUGCUCAUGAUCCAAAGCAUACCACCUCAUCAGUGAAGCAUGGUGGUAGUAGUGUCAUGGCGUGGGCAUGUAUGGCUGGGAAUGGAACUGGUUCUCUUGUAUUUAUUGAUGAUGUGACAAAAGCAGCAGGAUGAAUUCUGAAGUGUUUCGGGCAAUAUUAUCUGCUCAUAUUCAGCCAAAUGCUUCAGAACUCAUUGGACGGCGCUUCACAGUGCAGAUGGACAAUGACCCGAAGCAUACUGCGAAAGCAACCAAGGAGUUUUUUAAGGGAAAGAAGUGGAAUGUUAUGCAAUGGCCAAGUCAAUCACCUGACCUGAAUCCGAUUGAGCAUGCAUUUCACUUGCUGAAGACAAAACUGAAGGGAAAAUGCCCCAAGAACAAGCAGGAACUGAAGACAGUUGCAGUAGAGGCCUGGCAGAGCAUCACCAGGGAUGAAACCCAGCGUCUGGUGAUGUCUAUGCGUUCCAGACUUCAGGCUGUAAUUGACUGCAAAGGAUUUGCAACCAAGUAUUAAAAAGUGAAAGUUUGAUUUAUGAUUGUUAAUCUGUCCCAUUACUUUUGGUCCCUUAAAAGGUGGGAGGCACAUAUACAAACUGUUGUAAUUCCUACACCGUUCACCUGAUUUGGAUGUAAAUACCGUCAAAUUAAAGCUGAAAGUCUGCAGUUAAAGCACAUCUUGUUUGUUUCAUUUCAAAUCCAUUGUGGUGGUGUAUAGAGCCAAAAAGAUUAGAAUUGUGUCGAUGUCCCAAUAUUUAUGGACCUGACUGUAUUUACAGGAGUGCCAUG